AUUGAACGCUGGCGGCAGGCCUAACACAUGCAAGUCGAACGAGUGGCGGACGGGUGAGUAAUGUCUGGGAAACUGCCCGAUGGAGGGGGAUAACUACUGGAAACGGUAGCUAAUACCGCAUACCAUCGGAUGUGCCCAGAUGGGAUUAGCUAGUAGGUGUGGUAACGGCUCACCUAGGCGACGAUCCCUAGCUGGUCUGAGAGGAUGACCAGCCACACUGUAACUGAGACACGGUCCAGACUCCUACGGGAGGCAGCAGUGGGGAAUAUUGCACAAUGGGCGCAAGCCGGAUGGAGCCAUGCCGCGUGUAUGAAGAUGGCCUUCUGGUUUUAAUGUACUUUUGGCGAGGAGGUGUUACCCGCAGAAGAAGCACUGGCUAACUCCGUGCCAGCAGCCGCGGUAAUUC
rnacentral:rRNA from 1 species